rnacentral:rRNA from 1 species
UUAACACAUGCAAGUCGAGGGGCAGCAUGGUCUUAUCUUGCUAAGGCCGAUGGCGACCGGCGCACGGGUGAGUAACACGUAUCCAACCUGCCGUCUACUCUUGGACAGCCUUCUGAAAGGAAGAUUAAUACAAGAUGGCAUCAUGAGUCCGCAUGUUCACAUGAUUAAAGGUAUUCCGGUAGACGAUGGGGAUGCGUUCCAUUAGAUAGUAGGCGGGGUAACGGCCCACCUAGUCUUCGAUGGAUAGGGGUUCUGAGAGGAAGGUCCCCCACAUUGGAACUGAGACACGGUCCAAACUCCUACGGGAGGCAGCAGUGAGGAAUAUUGGUCAAUGGGCGAGAGCCUGAACCAGCCAAGUAGCGUGAAGGAUGACUGCCCUAUGGGUUGUAAACUUCUUUUAUAAAGGAAUAAAGUCGGGUAUGGAUACCCGUUUGCAUGUACUUUAUGAAUAAGGAUCGGCUAACUCCGUGCCAGCAGCCGCGGUAAUACGGAGGAUCCGAGCGUUAUCCGGAUUUAUUGGGUUUAAAGGGAGCGUAGAUGGAUGUUUAAGUCAGUUGUGAAAGUUUGCGGCUCAACCGUAAAAUUGCAGUUGAUACUGGAUAUCUUGAGUGCAGUUGAGGCAGGCGGAAUUCGUGGUGUAGCGGUGAAAUGCUUAGAUAUCACGAAGAACUCCGAUUGCGAAGGCAGCCUGCUAAGCUGCAACUGACAUUGAGGCUCGAAAGUGUGGGUAUCAAACAGGAUUAGAUACCCUGGUAGUCCACACGGUAAACGAUGAAUACUCGCUGUUUGCGAUAUACUGCAAGCGGCCAAGCGAAAGCGUUAAGUAUUCCACCUGGGGAGUACGCCGGCAACGGUGAAACUCAAAGGAAUUGACGGGGGCCCGCACAAGCGGAGGAACAUGUGGUUUAAUUCAAUGAUACGCGAGGAACCUUACCCGGGCUUAAAUUGCAGAUGAAUUACGGUGAAAGCCGUAAGCCGCAAGGCAUCUGUGAAGGUGCUGCAUGGUUGUCGUCAGCUCGUGCCGUGAGGUGUCGGCUUAAGUGCCAUAACGAGCGCAACCCUUGUUGUCAGUUACUAACAGGUUCCGCUGAGGACUCUGACAAGACUGCCAUCGUAAGAUGUGAGGAAGGUGGGGAUGACGUCAAAUCAGCACGGCCCUUACGUCCGGGGCUACACACGUGUUACAAUGGGGGGUACAGAGGGCCGCUACCACGCGAGUGGAUGCCAAUCCCCAAAACCUCUCUCAGUUCGGACUGGAGUCUGCAACCCGACUCCACGAAGCUGGAUUCGCUAGUAGUCGCGCAUCAGCCACGGCGCGGUGAAUACGUUCCCGGGCCUUGUACACACCGCCCGUCAAGCCAUGGGAGCCGGGGGUACCUGAAGUGCGUAACCGCGAGGAGCGCCCUAGGGUAAAACUGGUGACUGGGGCUAAGUCAU